GUUGAGCGCAGCGAAACAACGGAGCCGCUCGCGGCGACGGCCCGAAGGGCGAGCGAAGCGAGUCAUCCUGCACGACCCACCA
rnacentral:sRNA from 2 species